ensembl:snRNA U6 U6 spliceosomal RNA
GUGCCCACUUUGGCUUUAUCUAUAGUAAAACUAGAACAAGGCAGAGAUUAUUAUGACUUCUGUGUAAGGAUGAAAUGCAGAUUUGUGAAGCAUUCCAUGUUUUU